rnacentral:tRNA from 1 species
UCUAACGUGGCAGAUAAGUGCGGUGGAUUUAAGCCCCAUAAAUAAAGUCUUGAACUUUCAUUAGAA